CCGGAUUUAUUGGGUUUAAAGGGUGCGUAGGUGGGCUUAUAAGUCAGCGGUGAAAUCCCCCGGCUCAACCAGGGAAUUGCCGUUGAUACUGUUAGCCUUGAGUACAGUUGGAGUGGGCGGAAUGUAGCAUGUAGCGGUGAAAUGCAUAGAUAUGCUACAGAACACCAAUAGCGAAGGCAGCUCACUAAGUUGUAACUGACACUAAUGCACGAAAGCGUGGGGAUCAAACAGGAUUAGAUACCCUGGUAGUCCACGCUGUAAACGAUGAUCACUCGUUGUUGGCGAUAUACAGUCAGCGACUGAACGAAAGUAUUAAGUGAUCCACCUGGGGAGUACGAUCGCAAGGUUGAAACUCAAAGGAAUUGACGGGGGCCCGCACAAGCGGUGGAGCAUGUGGUUUAAUUCGAUGAUACGCGAGGAACCUUACC
rnacentral:rRNA from 1 species